CAAAAAAAGAAAAAAAAAAAAAAAAACAAACAAACAAACAAACAAGAGAAUAUUUUCUUGUUCUUUGGUU
rnacentral:ribozyme from 1 species